GAUGAACGCUAGCGGCAGGCUUAAUACAUGCAAGUCGUGGGGCAGCGCAGGUAGCAAUACUGGGCGGCGACCGGCAAACGGGUGCGGAACACGUACACAACCUCCCGAGAAGUGGGGAAUAGCCCAGAGAAAUUUGGAUUAAUACCCCGUAACAUAACGAUGUGGCAUCACAUUGUUAUUAUAGCUUCGGCGCUUCUUGAUGGGUGUGCGGCUGAUUAGAUAGUUGGCGGGGUAACGGCCCACCAAGUCUACGAUCAGUAGCUGAUGUGAGAGCAUGAUCCGCCACACGGGCACUGAGACACGGGCCCGACUCCUACGGGAGGCAGCAGUAAGGAAUAUUGGUCAAUGGACGCAAGUCUGAACCAGCCAUGCCGCGUGAAGGAUUAAGGUCCUCUGGAUUGUAAACUUCUUUUAUCUGGGACGAAAAAAGGCGAUUCUUCGUCACUUGACGGUACCAGAUGAAUAAGCACCGGCUAACUCCGUGCCAGCAGCCGCGGUAAUAC
rnacentral:rRNA from 1 species